rnacentral:rRNA from 1 species
CACGUAGGGGGCAAGCGUUGUCCGGAUUUAUUGGGCGUAAAGAGCUCGUAGGUGGUUCGGUAAGUCGGGUGUUAAACCCCCAGGCUCAACCUGGGGACGCCACUCGAUACUGCUGUGACUAGAGUCCGGUAGGGGAGCGUGGAAUUCCUGGUGUAGCGGUGAAAUGCGCAGAUAUCAGGAGGAACACCGGUGGCGAAGGCGGAUCUCUGGGCCAUUACUGACGCUGAGGAGCGAAAGCGUGGGGAGCGAACAGG